GGGAUCAAUAUGACUUUUAUUUGGGAUAAAAACAACAAACAAAAUUUAAACAUAGAUUAAAUAUAACUGUACCUUUUUUGCUAGUCACAGUAUCAAUGUGCAACAAUUGUGCAAUAUGUUUCUUUGUUUAAUUCCAAUAUUAUUUUCUCUGUGUCAUUUAUAGAAUUAUGGUUACCGCCUUACCGGGAACCCAAAAUUUGCCCCACUCCAAGCUAUGCUUUUAUGCACCACCAAGAUUGGAAAAGUUCUCUAAUCCUUUAGAAAAUAUUGGGUUUUCCAAAGUAUUUAAACAUAAUACACAAAGAUGAGUGUUAAUCUCUGCAAAGUGCGGACUUUCUUAUCUGGUGCCCAGUGUCCAUGAUAAUACUGUAUCUGUAUGUGAAUAUAUAUUAUUUCUUCCGCAGACCAGUUUUAAGUAAGUUAUUUUAUAAGCUGUAAAAUGUUUGGUGGAAUACAAAUACACAUGGACUAUUCUGGUCAAAAGUACGCAGAAUGUACAUUCCAAAGAAUUAUUGUAGUUUUUGCUGUCAUUGGAUUCUUUAUUGGUUAUGCAUUGCAAAAACUCUCAUAUUCCAUGUAUAUUUUGGGAUUUGGCUGUUUGGUUGCUGCUCUAGUUACUUUACCUCCUUGGCCAAUGUACAGAAGAGAUGGCAUUGUUUGGCAAACACCAGAAGCCACAGAAGUUGAUACAUCCCAAGCUUCUGGUUCAAAAACAAAUAAACAAAAGAAACAUUAAGUCUGGGAUUUAAGGGUGAUUUAACCAGUGGUGAUUUCUGUUAUGUUAAAAGUGACCUAAAGCAAUAUAUUAUAAACAGUUUGUUGCAUACCGGUUUCAUUUUCUUUUAUGAAGUUUUUUUUAGAAUGUAUAGGCAUGUCUAUGCCAUUCAAUCAUAUCUCUGUACUAUUUCUUCUUAAUUGGUUUGUACAAUUGUAAAUUGACCAAAUUGAGUUACUCAAUUUAAGCAAAAAUGCAGUGCUUGGUAAUCCUUCAUAUUAUAUAUAAACAUAAUAAAAUAAUUGCCGUGCACUAUAUUUGUGAAAUUGUGUAUAAUUUAACAGUUUCAGUUUAUCCAUUUAUAUUCAUUCACAAUUCACACCAUAGAAUAGAUACACAUUUUAAACUCUAGUUAAAGAUAGACCCCCUGUUUUCAAAUAUAAUGCCACGAAAGAAGGUAACAGGAAAAAGGAGGCACACUGUUGAAAUUAAACCAGAUAAGGAGGUGUCAGUGAAGAAAUCUAAGGAUAAUGAAGAAGAUGCAAGUACAUCGGUGAAGGAGGAAAUUAAAGAAAAGGUUGUUGUCUUCACUGGUUCUAUUCCAUUAGAUGAAGAAUGUACUUUGGAUCCAAAGCAAUAUCAUGUUUACACUGAGCAAGAUUUGGUUUUCAAUGCAAUGUUAAACCAAACCAAUAUUGGUUCUAAUAAUAAUAAGUACUAUGUCAUUCAACUUUUGAAAAACAAUAAAACUUCAGAUUUUUUUAUAUGGCUAAGAUGGGGAAGGGUUGGUAAGGUUGCAGGAAAAACUUUGGAAGCUGUGGGCCUUGAGCAAGGUAAAGCAACCUUUCAAAAAAAGUUUCGGGAAAAAACGGGAAAUUAUUUUCAUGUGUUUAACUUACCUUUUGUCAAGAAAAAGGGCAAAUAUGAUUUACUGGAAAUGGAUUACGGUGAAGAUAAAAAAACAGACACAAAUAAAAAGGAUACCAAGAAUAAAGUGAAAGCUGAAUCUGUACUUCAUAAGAGUUUACAAGAUGUUAUGACUCUCAUCUUUGAUAUUACAGAGUGGGAGGAAUCAGUUAAAGAAAUGAAAUUUGACAUUAAGAAGUCACCUUUAGGUAAACUUACAAAGAAACAAAUCACAGCCGGCUAUGAAGCAUUGAAAGCUGUAGAAACCUGUAUAACUCACGAUAAAGUCGACAAACAGGAAUUAAUUGAAGCUUGCAGUCAGUUCUACACCAGAAUCCCACACGAUUUUGGCAUGAAGGCGCCACCCUUGAUUGAAACGACAGAUCAACUUAAAGAAAAGCUUGAACUCCUAGAAGCACUUAAUGAAAUUCAAGUUGCAAUCAGUAUUGUUGAAGAUGAGAAUGACGAAAACGAUACAAAUCCAAUUGAUCUUAACUACAAAUCAUUAAAUUGUGAUUUAACACCACUGGAUAGAUCAGAUGAUCAGUUUAAAAUUGUUAAAAAGUAUGUAUCCAACACUCAUGGAAGCACUCAUACUUCUUACACACUUUCUGUUGAAGAUGUGUUUACUGUAAAUCGUGAAGUUGAUUCUGCUCGAUUUAAAAGUGAGAUCGGGAAUCGGACUUUAUUAUGGCAUGGAUCAAGGUUAACAAACUGGUGCGGCAUAUUGAAGCAAGGACUGCGUAUUGCACCCCCUGAGGCACCAGUUACUGGUUAUAUGUUUGGAAAAGGUGUUUACUUUGCUGAUAUGGUUUCGAAAUCUGCUAAUUACUGUUGGACUAGUCAGCGCCAACCAAUUGGCUUUCUUCUGCUGUGUGAAGUGGCACUGGGUGAUUGCAAUGAGCUUACUUCAGGUGAUUAUCAUGCGGAUAAAUUACCAAAAGGAAAACAUAGCACCAAGGGUAUUGGAGGAACAGAACCCAACCCAAAGCAAGCUGUUACUUUAGCAGAUGGGACAACAGUACCACUGGGAAAGCCAAAGACCUGUACCACCAAACCAGGUUAUCUUUGGUAUAAUGAAUUUAUUGUCUAUGAUGUUGCCCAAAUCAAACCUCGAUUUCUUGUCAAGUUAAAAUUUAACUACAAAACUGGAUUUUAAAAAUUAAACGAUCACAGUAACACUAUCUUUAAGUUUCAUUGAUUAUACUAAUAGCCACUAAGUUGGCACUAACUAUAUAUUUUUAGCUUUUCAGGGUUAUUUUAUGACUUUAUAUUUAUACAGUGGUGUUGUUAAUUUGUUGAACAAACCAUUCAUGGCACUUUUUCAUUUAGUUAUAAAACAGUUUUAUUUCUAUUUUAACCUGUAAAUUAUAAGUAGAUUUUAGGCAUUACUUGUGUAUAAAUGAAAUAUAAUAUAUAUUUAUUUAUAUGCUAUAUUUUAUAGCACUAUCACUGAUAGGUAUUUUUACUACCAUUAAGUUUCAUUGAUUGUACUAACCAGUAACUAUCCAAUUUUGUUAUUUCUUUACGCUUUGAUUUUUUUUACAAAUUAAUAUUAAUAGCUGCGUAAAAAAAUAUUUAUUAAAUUUAAGAAACUGUUCAACCAUAUCAUGCCAAUGCCCAAUAAUGUUUCUGUUUUUAUUUAUUUUCUAAAUUGUAUAAAUAAAUGGUAGAUUUGUUAUACUUAUACAUCACAUAUGUAAAAAGAUCCUGUAUAUAUAUAAGAAUACAGAAUCUUUUUUCUAAAGUUAUUUUACAUUUGUUUAAUUUAUUUUAUAAAUUGUAGAUAUCACAUAUAUAUAUUUAUACAGACUAUUCUGUUUUUCAAAGUUGUUAUUUUACAUUAGUGAUUUUGAUCAUGUACUUAAAUAGAAAAAAACAGUUCCACUUUACCAAUGCAUGUUUGUAUUAUUUUAUCUGCCAUUGCUUUUAAGUUUGUACAUUCAAAUUAUAAUAUUAAUAACUUUGAAGUUGGUGCAUGUGCAUGAAAGUGAAUAUUUUAGCAUAUAAAAGACAGUUGUAUUUUAAAGUAUUCCAACUUUUUC